UGGGCAGAUGGGAAAUCUGGAAUACUUUGUUUCUAGAGAGAUGUUCUGCGUUAGAGAAGAAGCAGAGGCUGCAGGGAAGGCGUGGUUUAUGUAUUUACAAUGCGAGAGGACAUGUGGAAGUUCCCUUGUUAUGUCGCCUCACAAGGAAUAAAAGCAACAGGAUGAGGACAGCAUGACUCAGAAGCACAAGCAACAGGAGACAUGAUCAACAGGACUGGAUCAAAACUGGAAACAUUCGGUGUCCUUCAAAGGACACCAUCAGGAAAGUGAAAAGACAGGCCAGGUGCAGUGGCUCAUACCUGUAAUCUCAGCACUUUGGGAGGCAGACAGGCCAGGUGCAGUGGC
rnacentral:lncRNA from 1 species